GAGUGUGGUGAUGGAGAAGCUGAAGUUGAUGGUGGCCGACACUCUCAAGGCGGUGGUGGCUGCACGUUCAAGCAGCGCUGAUGACAUCCUCUCCUCCUCCUCUUCUCUGCUCCACUUCUUUCUUGCCCUGCCCGACUUUCACCUGGUUCUUUCCUUUUCCCUCUCAAUCAAAAAUGAUAAGAGACUUGGUGGAUCCUGAGAGGUGUCUGUGGUAAGAACACGGAUGCUGCAUCGGAUGCAAAGCAAAAGGGCAAUCACUGCUUUUCCAGUGCAGACUUCUCCGGGGCCUUAACCUUCUAUUCCCAAGCGCUCAUCGUUGCUCCCUUUGAUGCUUGCGACAAGGACAAAAAUCUGGUCUCCGUUUUAUACUUGAAUCGUGCAGUCGUGUUAUGUAAACUUGGUUUUAUAACAGAGUGUCUUCGAGACCGUAAUAGGGCACUUCAAAUUUCCCCAGGAUAUGCGAAGUAUGAAGCUAUGACUCCAAUUGCAAUGUCUCUCUACUGUUAAAACGGUGAUUGGAAUUUGCUUCAUAGCUUAUGCACGUAGCAUAUAUUUUUGUAUUGCACUUCUGACGUCAUCUAUGGCGAGUGCCCUCUUUGCCGGAACCAAGCUGGUGACAACACCUCUCCU